GAUGAACGCUGACAGAAUGCUUAACACAUGCAAGUCAACUUGAACUUCGGUUUGGGUGGCGGACGGGUGAGUAACGCGUAAAAAACUUGCCUCACAGAUAGGGACAACAUUUGGAAACGAAUGCUAAUACCUGAUAUUAUGAUUAUAUGGCAUCGUAUAAUUAUGAAAGCUAUAUGCGCUGUGAGAGAGCUUUGCGUCCCAUUAGCUAGUUGGAGAGGUAACGGCUCACCAAGGCGAUGAUGGGUAGCCGGCCUGAGAGGGUGAUCGGCCACAAGGGGACUGAGACACGGCCCUUACUCCUACGGGAGGCAGCAGUGGGGAAUAUUGGACAAUGGACCAAGAGUCUGAUCCAGCAAUUCUGUGUGCACGAUGAAGUUUUUCGGAAUGUAAAGUGCUUUCAGUUGGGAAGAAAAAAAUGACGGUACCAACAGAAGAAGUGACGGCUAAAUACGUG
rnacentral:rRNA from 1 species